UGUGUGUCACUCCUUCUCCAACCCCCACCCCCAUCUUUGGAGACGCUCCGGGAGGCGACAGGGACCUGGCGACUGCAUAGAACCAGCGCUCCUAGGGCAAGGCAGAGGUGGGACACGGCCCGGGUCUUCAGGUCAGUGAAGUGAUGCCUCAGUCUGAUAGUGUCUGAAGAAUUGCUGGGCUAUUGUGGCAACUGAGGGCAAAGAAGGGAAAACAGAAGCAAAGAAAACUGUUUCACAAACUCUUGGAAUUGCUACUGUUAAAAGGCUGCAUUUCACUUCUGAUUUCCUCAUCUGUUGCUACAAAGGAAAAAGAAAUCCAAUGAUGUGUCUGCAUUUGAUGAGAAGAAAACACAACAGCAGUGUAGGUUCGAAAGUCAUUGCGCGGAGAGGGCAGGAGUGAAUUAAGGCCCCGGGGACCGCGGACGCCGGGCCAAGAGACCGCCCGAAAUAUGAGCCGAACCUGUUUUGUGAGAUGCACUUGGGUUUGGGGGUCAGGGUCGAAGGCUUCAAAGCCCUUGGUCUG